rnacentral:rRNA from 1 species
AGUGAACGCUGGCGGUAGGCCUAACACAUGCAAGUCGAACGGCAGCACAGUAAGAGCUUGCUCUUACGGGUGGCGAGUGGCGGACGGGUGAGGAAUACAUCGGAAUCUACUUUUUCGUGGGGGAUAACGUAGGGAAACUUACGCUAAUACCGCAUACGACCUACGGGUGAAAGCAGGGGAUCUUCGGACCUUGCGCGAUUGAAUGAGCCGAUGUCGGCUUAGCUAGUUGGCGGGGUAAAGGCCCACCAAGGCGACGAUCCGUAGCUGGUAUGAGAGGAUGAUCAGCCACACUGUAACUGAGACACGGUCCAGACUCCUACAGGAGGCAGCGGUGGGGAAUAUUGGACGAUGGGCACAAGCCUGAUCCAGCCAUACCGCGUGGGUGAAGAAGGCCUUCGGGUUGUAGAGCCCUUUUGUUGGGAAAGAAAAGCAGCAGGUUAAUACCCCGCUGUUCUGACGGUACCCAAAGAAUAAGCACCGGCUAGCUUCGUG